AGCAGUGGACAAAGCAGGCAGCUGCCAAAUUAAGUUAUAAGGGAGUAUUGUGCAACUUGAAACAAGCAUGUUCCCUAAUUGAUCAGCGACAUAACAAUGAAACAACAUUAACCGGGAUGACAUAAAGUGAGGAGUUACUGAAUUAGGAAGAAAAU